rnacentral:SRP_RNA from 1 species
AGGCAGCAGCCGCAGCGACCUCCGCUUGGUGCGCUGCU